rfam:Ailuropoda melanoleuca scaffold450_28, whole genome shotgun sequence.
GCCUGGCUGGUUCAGUCAGUGGAGCAUGUGACUCUUGAUCUCGGGGUUGUGAGUUCAAGCCCCAUGUUGGGUA